rnacentral:rRNA from 1 species
ACCCGCUGAACUUAAGCAUAUCAGUAAGCGGAGGAAAAGAAACUAACUAGGAUUCCCCGAGUAGCGGCGAGCGAAAGGGGAGAAGCCCAGCGCCGAAGCCCGCCACCCCUCGGUGGCAGUGCAAUGUGGCGUUUCGGCGUCGACUCGCGACGGUCGCUCUGGCACGAGUACCUCUGAAUGGGUCUGCCCCGGCGGGUGUCAGCCCUCUACUUGCCAGACGAGCGGCCGCCGCCUGUCGUCGUCGCGGAGUCGGGUUGCUUGAGAGUGCAGCCCAAAGUGGGUGGUAAGCUCCAUCUAAGGCUAAAUACCUAGUGCGAGACCGAUAGCAAACAAGUACCGUGAGGGAAAGUUGCAAAGAACUUUGAAAAGAGAGUUCAAGAGUACGUGAAACCGUUCAGAGGCAAACGGACGGAACUGGGCGAGUUCGUCGUCGUCAUUCAGCCGCACUCCCCUCGCGGGGCAGCAGCGGUGCACUUGGCGGCGGCGGAGCGCGACGACCGCCUGUCGGGUCGUCAGAAGCCCGGCGGCAAGGUGGCGACGCGUUCGCGCGUCGUGUUACAGGCCGCCGCGGCGUUGGCUGACUCGGCGGGCGAGGAGCGCCUGCGGUGCACUCCCCCUUGCGCGGGAGUGGCUCGACGUGGUGGGCUUGCGGACGCCGGCUUUGAACUGCUCGCAGUUUGAGGUCGCGCGCGCCGUCUGUCGCGCCGCGCGAUGCCACGGGGCACCCAGGGUCCGGGUCGUGUGGUUCCUGGCACUCCGUCCGACCCGUCUUGAAACACGGACCAAGGAGUUGAGCACGCGCGCGAGUCGAUGGGCUCUCAGAACCCCAGUGGCGCAGCUAAGGCAAAACGGGCGUGAUCCGGCACUGGCGUGUCGGCGCAACGCCGGCCCGCGGGCGACUCGUUGCAAGUGCCCGCGGUGCAAGAGCGCGUGUGCUCAGACCCGAAAGGUGGUGAACUAUGCUUGAGCAGGGCGAAGCCAGAGGAAACUCUGGUGGAGGCUCGCAGCGAUCCUGACGUGCAAAUCGGUCGUCAAACUUGAGCAUAGGGGCGAAAGACUAAUCGAACCGCCUAGUAGCUGGUUCCCUCCGAAGUUUCCCUCAGGAUAGCUGGCACUCGGGAUAAAUGGUUUUAUCCGGUAAAGCGAAUGAUUAGAGGCAUUGGGGACGAAACGUCCUCAACCUAUUCUCAAACUUUAAAUGGGUAAGAGGCGCGGCCCCUCCUAAUCGGGGUCGCGUGCUUGAACAGAGAGUGCCCAGUGGGCCGUUUUUGGUAAGCAGAACUGGCGCUGUGGGAUGAACCAAACGCUCGGUUAGGGUGCCUAACGCGCGCUCAUGAGAUACCACAAAAGGUGUUGGUUGAUAUAGACAGCAGGACGGUGGCCAUGGAAGUCGGAAUCCGCUAAGGAGUGUGUAACAACUCACCUGCCGAAUCAACUAGCCCUGAAAAUGGAUGGCGCUGGAGCGCGCGACCCAUACCGGGCCGUCGGAGCAACGCGUGCGAAAUGCCAGGCUCCGACGAGUAGGAGGGCGUGUCGGUGGCGUUGAAGCGUAGUGCGUGAGCACGCGUGGAGCCGCCUUCAGUGCAGAUCUUGGUGGUAGUAGCAAGUAUACAAAUGAGAACUUUGUAGACCGAAGUGGAGAAGGGUUCCAUGUGAACAGCAGUUGGACAUGGGUCAGUCGGCCCUAAGAGAUCGGAAAAUUCCGUUCUGAACGGGGGAGACGCUUGGCGCGUGCCCGUCGCACACUAUGGCCGUCUGAAGCAUUAGCGCGCGCGCACCAUCGGCACCCACUCGGUGUACGUGCGCGCGCGCGCCCAAGGCGCGGCAGUGCGACGGGACGGAACACGCGCGCUCUCGCGUGCUUGUCAGCCCCGAUGCGAUCGAAAGGGAAUCGGGUUAAUAUUCCCGAACCUGGCAGUGGAGAUUGGGCCCUCGGGCCCCAGUGCGGUAACGCAACCGAACUCGGAGACGCCAGCGUCGAUCCCGGGAAGAGUUCUCUUUUCUUUGUUAGGAGCGGACUCCCUGGAAUUGGCUUGUCCAGAGAUAGGGACGUUGCAUCCGUAAAGCGUCGCGCCUCACGCGGCGUCCGGUGCAUCGGCGUUGGCCCUUGAAAAUCCGAGGGAGGCAGUGUAAUUUUCACUCCAGGCCGUACCCGAAUCCGCAGCAGGUCUCCAAGGUGAACAGCCUCUGGUCGAUAGAACAAUGUAGGUAAGGGAAGUCGGCAAAUCCGAUCCGUAACUUCGGGACAAGGAUUGGCUCUGAGGUGCGGGCUGCUUCGGGUCGCGGCAAGAAGCGGACUGUGCGUUGGUUGGACUGGGCGCGCCUCGGCGCGUUCGGACCGCCGCCAGCGCGCUUCCGUGGGAGGCCGUGGCUUUCGCCGGCGGGGGCUCACGCGCCUCGUCGGCUUCGUUCGGCCUAAACGCACAGCACAGAACUGGCGCGGACUCUGGGAACACGACUGUCUAAUUAAAACAAAGCAUCGCGAUGGCCGCUGGUCGGUGUUGACGCGAUGUGAUUUCUGCCCAGUGCUUUGAAUGUCAAAGUGAAGAAAUUCAACCAAGCGCAGGUAAACGGCGGGAGUAACUAUGACUCUCUUAAGGUAGCCAAAUGCCUCGUCAUCUAAUUAGUGACGCGCAUGAAUGGAUUAACGAUGUUCCCACUGUCCCUAUCUACUAUCUAGCGAAACCACAGCCAAGGGAACGGGCUUGGCAAAUACAGCGGGGAAAG